rnacentral:rRNA from 1 species
GGGUGCGAUCAUACCCGCGUUAAUGCACCGGAUCCCAUCAGAACUUUGUAGUUAAGCGCGCUUGGGCUAAGGUAGUGAUGGGAUGGGUGACCUCCUGUGAAGUCCUAGUGUUGCACCCU